AUGUCAACGAUCUUUAUAAAGUUGUUUGAAGCGUCUAUGAUAAACAGAGAGCAAAUUAGAAUCCAAGGAAGUUGACAUGUCAUCACUUCAUUUUUUUGCGCCUGCGCAUAAAUCUGAGAAACGUGAGUUUGUCAUCAUUUUUUAUCUAGACAUAGGAUAGGUUGUGUGAAAAUAUUACUGAUGUUUAACGUUAAAAAUGGACCAAAAGAUUAAUGCUAAACAACAUUUGACAUGUUUGAACGAACAUAAAUAGAUUAUUUACUAGGUUUUUUUAGCUUUUCGGCGUGAUUUGACCAACCCCCACGACAUUUUUUGGGGGCAUAAUGAACGCUAAGUACUUGGUGUUAUUUGGACAUAAAUUAUGAAACCACAUUUGUUCCGGACCUGGAAUGCCUUCCGGACCUGGGAUCCUGCCUUCUGAUGGAGAUAAUCAAAGUCCAGCCUGACAGCCAGCCCCAGCCUCACCCCCCAGCCUCAUCCAUUUCAAAGGCUCUGGGGUCAGCAGGUGAGCAUGGAGGCUGCAGUUUGUGUGGAAAGGAGUCUUCCUUCUCAAAAGUGAUGGUGCCAGUGCCAUGCUAUGUGUCUGGAGAGAAGGAGCAGGGAAGAGGAAAGGAGAGGACAGAGCUGGAUGAAGAGAGAGAGAGGGCGGUGAAAUCAGCCUGUUAGAACAGAACAAUUAAUCAGAGAGCAGGCAAUCACAAGGCUUCUGUGAGAGAGCAGCAUCUAGGUAAGGGUAAGAUGGUGAAGGGAAUGGGCAGGCUCAUGGAUCUGGUGGCCAGCACUGGAUCAAAGGUGGUCUUCACCAUGGAGCACUCAGCUAAGGGUAGACAUAUGUGCGUGAAGCAUGAAGUCAGCGUUUGCUUUGCCUGAGGAGCUGACAGUGACGGACAGAUAUGCCGGAGGAAAAAGAAAAAGAGAUGAGCCGACAGCCCUCAGCUUUAAUGGUCCAUUGGCUCUCACUGAGAAGAAGUGGCUGAACAGUACACAGCAAAUUCUCCACUGUUAAAUCAACACUGACAGUGUGAAAUGUAACACUGGUCCAGUGUCCAUAUCGGUCCACACUUUUCAGUGUUAAAUUGACACACUGCGUAGUGUAAAGCCUUAUUUCCAUAUUUCCCAGCCUUUUGAGUGAAUUGUAAAGUUAACACCCAUGACUGUAUUUGUUAGUGACAGUUUUUUGUGUACAACAUUCAUUCAUUUUCAGUCAUGUGCUAUCACCAAGUGAGAUCUGAAGUGAAUAUGUUAUCAUUAAAAUGUAAUUCUUCAACACAAUACAACAGUAUUUCAUUAGGUUUUAUUUUGAGGGCCUAGUUUUACCCUAAUACAGUGGCCUGAAAGUCAUGGUUUUCAGGCCUGCAAGUCACAUUAGGAUGGCUUGUAAAGAGAUUCGUAAUUCCUAUUGGAAUCCAGCCAGAGUGGGGAUAUCCAACAUGUUUUAUGUUUAUUCACCCGCAACCUGCAAUCAGAAUAACUGCCGGGUUAAGAAGACUAGGAUAUGAGACUACCUAAACCAUCUACACUGGGAACAAACAUUUUAGUUAUGGGUCCAAUAAGUCCAAGUAACAGAUUGGAUUAGUUUAGAAAAAUGUAUGCUAUUUAUUUGAGUAGCAUAAGAUUAAUGAAUCAAUGUACAUGAAAAUCAAUCAACUGUAUCCGCCCAAAGCUAUUGCUAUAGCGAACUUGCAACAUUGCAUCAACUAUGACGUUUCAACUGGACAUAUGGGAUCAUCAGAGCAUGACAUUUUGUUUCUUCACACUGAGGCCUGGUGAUUAUCGAGGGAGAGUGUUGGAAAGGUUUUUAAAAUGUGAGGAACUAUUAUCAUUCGCAAUGGAUGUAUGAAAAAAUAGACUUUGUUAAAUUACUGUAUGAGGUGAAGAAAAAAUGACUGAGAAGCUCAUCUUAUUAGUGGUGGUGAGUAGACAAUCAUAAAUCAGACAUCCCCAAUUGGGCACUUUCCUACAUUUGUAUGUAUGCUCAGGCGCGCAGUCUCCGUCAACAUUAACAGGGCAGAGAAACCAGACACAUGUUUAUUGCGCAGAUGAAGGGCUUCAAACAAAACAAUGUACAAUAGUCGUAAAUGUUUCUCACAAGUGUAGCAGGUUGUGAACUCUAACAACAACAUCUCCACUCCAAGAAUGAGAAAGGUAAAUGACUGUAAUUAAUGCAUGCAUUAACAGAAAUGUAUGUAACCAAAUGAAGGGGAUAAACGGUAAAUGUACUACUGGUGACAUACAGUACCAGUCAAAAGUUUGGACACACCUACUUAUUCAAUGUUUUGUCUUUCUUUUUACUAUUUUCUACAUUGUAGAAUAAUAGUGAAGACAAAAAACUAUGAAAUAACACAUGGAAUAAUGUAGUAACCCCAAAAAAUUUUAAACAAAUCAAAAUAUAUUUGAGAUUCUUUAAAAGUAGCCAGCCUUUGCCUUGAUGACAGCAUUGCACACUCUUGGCAUUCUCUCAACCAUCUUCAUGAGGUAGUCACCUGGAAUGCAUUUCAAUUAACAGGUGUGCCUUGUUAAAAGUUCAUUUGUGGAAUUUAUGUCCUUCUUAAUGCGCUCAAUCUAAUCAGUUGUGUUGUGACAAGGUAGGGGUGGUAUACAGAAGAUAGCCCUCUUUGGUAAAAUACCAAGUCCAUAUUAUGGCAAGAACAGCUCAAAUAAGCAAAGAGAAACAACAGUCCAUCAUUACUUUAAGACAAGAAGGUCAGUCAAUGCGGAACAUUUAAAGAACUUUGAAACUUUCUUCAAGUGCAAAAACCAUCAAGCACUAUUAUGAAAGUGGCUCUCAUGAGGGUGGCCACAGGAAAGGAAGACCCAGAGGCUGCAGAGGAUAAGGUCAUUAGAGUUCCGGCCGCAGAAAUUGGAAUUUAACUGCACCUCAGACUGCACCUCAAUGAGUUUAAGUAACAGACACAUCUCAACAUCAACUGUUCAGAGGAGUCUGCUUGAAUGAGGCUUUCAUGGUUGAGUUGCUGCAAAGAAAUCACUACCAAAGGACACCAAUAAGGAGAA
rnacentral:lncRNA from 1 species